UGAAAUCAUUGCUCAUACUGUUCUCUUUCUACAUCUGUGUCCAUCCUUCAACGCCUGGCUCUACUUCUGAAGCCUUGGCACGUAUCUUUUCCUUUGUUUCCUGUCAUCUCAGACUUUGGAAAUCUUGCUUAUCCACUUUACCCAGCCCUAGAUCAAUGGUCUCCUCCUCCAGGAAGCCUUCCAUGCUCUACCCUUCCCACCCUGACAGGGAGAAGAUUUUAAUGACCACAAGGCCAAAGGGUCAUUAGGCAGAUGAAAAUGGACCUUAACGUUCUCCUGGGAUGAGGAUUCCAGCAUCAAAUGGCCAACUAAAAGGCUGACGGAUAAAAUGUUUAAUCCAUGCUCACCUAUACGGACGAAAUGAUAAUGAACUAAUUUUUGCAAGAGUCAAAAAUUGAGGCGUACUCACCAGAGACUGAGCUACAAGCUAGGAUGCCAAUCAGCUUUCAUGCCUGAGAACUAUAAUAACUGUGAUAAGAUAAAAUACCAUCAUAAAUUAGAAAGCAGAAGGUAUU